GACAGCUCAGUUGUAGAGAGCGAGACUUUUCAUCUCGGGGCUGUGGGUUCGAGUCCCAUGUUGGGCA